GAUGAAGAACGUAGCGAAAUGCGAUAAGUAAUGUGAAUUGCAGAAUUCAGUGAAUCAUCGAAUCUUUGAACGCACAUUGCGCCCGCCAGUAUUCUGGCGGGCAUGCCUGUUCGAGCGUCAUUACAACCCUCAGGCCCCCGGGCCUGGCGUUGGGGAUCGGCGGAGCCCCCCGUGGGCACACGCCGUCCCCCAAAUGCAGUGGCGGUCCCGCCGCAGCUUCCAUCGCGUAGUAGCUAACACCUCGCGACUGGAGAGCGGGGCGGCCACGCCGUAAAACACCCAACUCUUCUGAAGUUGACCUCGAAUCAGGUAGGAAUACCCGCUGAACUUAAGCAUAUCAAUAAGCGGAGGA
rnacentral:misc_RNA from 1 species